CGGUCCGGACAAUCGCUGCAUUAGUAGAGGAAAGUCCAUGCUCGCACGAGCUGUGAUGCUCGUAGUGAUUGUGCUAGCGGAAAAAAUAACGCUAGAUAUGCAGGAGUGCAUAAUGGCGGGAAGAAACCUAAGGGCAACUACGGUCUAUUCCCUGAAAGUGCCACAGUGACGUAGUUUAUUAGAAAUAAUAAAGUGGAACGCGGUAAACCCCACAAGCGAGAAACCCAAAUUUUGGUAGGGGAGGCAGGAGGCGAGAAAUAGAAUCGUCUCAGGCAAGCAUUUGCUUAGAUAAAUAAUUAUCCUAGACAAA
rnacentral:RNase_P_RNA from 1 species